AACGAACGCUGGCGGCAUGCCUAACACAUGCCAGUCGAACGAGACCUUCGGGUCUAGUGGCGCACGGGUGCGUAACGCGUGGGAACCUGCCCUUAGGUUCGGAAUAACUCCCCGAAGGGGUGCUAAUACCGGAUAAUGUCUUCGGACCAAAGAUUUAUCGCCUUUGGAUGGGCCCGCGUUGGAUUAGCUAGUUGGUAGGGUAAAAGCCUACCAAGGCGACGAUCCAUAGCUGGUCUGAGAGGAUGAUCAGCCACACUGGGACUGAGACACGGCCCAGACUCCUACGGGAGGCAGCAGUGGGGAAUAUUGGACAAUGGGCGAAAGCCUGAUCCAGCAAUGCCGCGUGAGUGAUGAAGGCCUUAGGGUUGUAAAGCUCUUUUACCCGGGAUGAUAAUGACAGUACCGGGAGAAUAAGCUCCGGCUAACUCCGUG
rnacentral:rRNA from 1 species